UCAGCAGAAUACCUGCUCAGCUUCUACAGUGAAGGAGGGGCUCAAGGUCACCAAUGCAAAACCCACCUGAGGUGGAUGCCUCCUGUAGGACGCACUGAAGCACCAAAGUUCUGCCAGGAAUUCAUUGAUGAAAGCAGAUGACAUCUGAGAUAAUACCUGGUCAGACUCACCUUAAGCCCAUGGAGGAUUUAUCUUUGUUUCUACCAACUGUACAAUAAGAUUUUAAAAUAGCACAUUCUUAAUUGUCUGUAUUUAUGUAUAUUCUCCUGAAAAACUGUUAUGUAAGCAGAUUUUCUUUAAACAUGCAUCCAAAGGAAAUUCCCAAGUCAAUUAGUUCAUACUAAGAGAAUACAAACUUAUUUAACAUCAACCUAAGUAAAAUCCACUGGAGAAGAUAAGUGUGUAGCUUAGAAUUACAGAUUGUAUUCUCUAGUCAAAGAUACAUAAAUUAGGCCUUAAAAAGUUACUUUGGAUCAUGUUUACUUUUAUUACUGUCUAUCUGGAUAGAUAAUUGGAUGUUAUUGCUCAUCCCUCAUUUUCUAGAAUGAGUGUUCU
ensembl:lncRNA novel transcript